AUGAGCUCUUCGGUUCUGCAGCUGUGCCUCUUGCUGGCUCUCUUCAUCCGUGGCGGAGCAGUCCAGCCCGUGCCCGUCCAGCCUCCCGUGCCCGUCCAGCCUCCGCGGGCCUUGUUUGCCGAGGGCGCCACCGCUGUGCUGCCCUGCCGCCUGGAGCGCGGCCAGAUCCAAGACUUCCACGUCCUCUGGUUCCGGCAGCGGCCCGGUGACCGGCCGGCCCACGUGCUGAAGCAUCACACGGACGGUCAGAUCCAACGAACCAGCGGGUUCGGCGAGAGGUUCGUGCCCGUCCGGGACGCCGGGGCCAACGCCUACGUGCUGCAGAUCCAGGCGGCGCGCACGGAGGACAGCGCCACCUACUGGUGCAUGGCAGAGAUAAAUUUAUUCAGCACCGCAGUCUCGGGGGCGGGGACGCAGCUCAGCGUCACGGGAGGUGAGUGCGAAUUGCCGAUGCCAACUCCAGGCUGGGGAAAUUCCGGGAUAUUUGGGCUUGAAGCCUGA